rnacentral:rRNA from 1 species
AGAACGAACGCUGGCGGCAGGCCUAACACAUGCAAGUCGAACGCCGUAGCAAUACGGAGUGGCAGACGGGUGAGUAACACGUGGGAACGUGCCCAAAGGUACGGAACAACUCCGGGAAACUGGAGCUAAUACCGUAUGUGCCCGAAAGGGGAAAGAUUUAUCGCCUUUGGAUCGGCCCGCGUCUGAUUAGCUAGUUGGUAGGGUAAUGGCCUACCAAGGCUACGAUCAGUAGCUGGUCUGAGAGGAUGAUCAGCCACAUUGGGACUGAGACACGGCCCAAACUCCUACGGGAGGCAGCAGUGGGGAAUAUUGGACAAUGGGCGAAAGCCUGAUCCAGCCAUGCCGCGUGAGUGAUGAAGGCCUUAGGGUUGUAAAGCUCGUUUCGGCGGGGACGAUAAUGACGGUACCCGCAGAGAAGCCCCGGCUAACUUCGCGCCAGCAGCCGC